GAUGAAGAACGCAGUGAAAUGCGAUAAGUAAUGUGAAUUGCAGAAUUCAGUGAAUCAUCGAAUCUUUGAACGCACCUUGCGCUCCUUGGUAUUCCAAAGAGCAUGCCUGUUUGAGUAUCAUUAAAUUAUCAACUGUACCAAUUUGGUUGCAGAUUGGAUGUGGGAGAUUUUGCAGGCUUUUGAUUUCUCUUUGAGAAAACGGUCAGCUCUCCUGAAAUAUAUUAGCAGUGCCUUUGUUGGUUCAUUAGGUGUGAUAAUUUAUCUACAUCUUAACAUGGUACCUUCAUUUGUGUAAAGGUCAUAUUGCUUCUAAUUGUCUUUGGACAUAAAAAAAAAAAAACAUAUAAUUGUAUGGAAAACUUGAUCUCAAAUCAGGCAGGACUACCCGCUGAACUUAAGCAUAUCAAUAAGCGGAGGA
rnacentral:misc_RNA from 1 species